GAUGAACGCUGGCGGCGUGCUUAACACAUGCAAGUCGAACGAUGAAGCUUGGUGCUUGCACUGGGUGGAUUAGUGGCGAACGGGUGAGUAUCACGUGAGUAACCUGCCCUUGACUCUGGGAUAAGCCUGGGAAACUGGGCCUAAUACCGGAUAUGACUGAUCAUCGCAUGGUGGUUGGUGGAAAGAUUUUAUCGGUUUUGGAUGGACUCGCGGCCUAUCAGCUUGACGGUGGGGUAAUUGCUCACCGUGGCUUUGACGGGUAGCCGGCCUGAGAGGGUGACCGGCCACACUGGGACUGAGACACGGCCCAGACUCCUACGGGAGGCAGCAGUGGGGAAUAUUGCACAAUGGGCGCAAGCCUGAUGCAGCGACGCCGCGUGCGGGAUGACGGCCUUCGGGUUGUAAACCGCUUUCAGCAGGGAAGAAGCUUUUUGUGACGGUACCUGCAGAAGAAGCGCCGGCUAACUACGUGCCAGCAGCCGCCGUAA
rnacentral:rRNA from 1 species